rnacentral:lncRNA from 1 species
AUGGCACUGACAGCAGCCUUUGUGCGCUGCAUGGAGCCCCUGCUGCCGGGUGAGGAGGCAGAGGCCACGGCGGCUCUUCACCCUCGGCUCACCGACGCGCCGCUGACCAGCGAGGCAGGGGAGGGUGCCGCAGAGGUGCCGCCGGUCCGCGUGCCCGCGCCCAGCACCCACCGGGCGGCGCCCCCACUUUGUCCUGCGCGUAGGCGGGGCCCAGGCCGCGCGGGAGCUGCUCCAUUUCUCCCGGCCCCGAGAGUCCGCCGCGGCCUCGGCCUCCAGAGGCCAGUGCUCUGGGCCCGGACCCUCCCCGGCCGCAGACCCUGCCCCGCCUGCUCCCGCUCACCGUGCGCCGCGGCGCCGCGAGGCCGCCUGGCCCUCGUUCCCCCGCAGGUCGGCCGAGCUCUGGGCGAGCCGCGGGGCUGUGCGAGGGAGGCAGGCCGCGCCUCCGCGCCGUCCCUCAACGCAGCGCCCGCGAGCCUCGGGCACCUUAAAGAGACAGGCCCGCCGCCACCCCCCCCCCCCCCCCCCCCCCGCCACAGUUUCCCCUGUCCCUCCGCCCGCCUUCGGUUCCACGCUGCCGCCAGCUCCCGCCAGGAGGCGUCUCUCACUCCCGGGGCGCUCCUGUCAGCGCACGCCCCGGGCCCGCCCCUCCCCGCCUGCGGCCCGCCAGGCCCGGCAGGCCCACCGCCCCGCCUCCAGUCCGGUCCCGGCGUGGCCCGCGCGAAGGCCCCGCCCCCAGCCGUGGCUCCGCCCCCGGCUGCGACCCCGCCCCGCUCACGCACGAAGGCCCCACCCCGCCCUCCGGUCACGCCCAACAGAGGCCACACUCCCGCCCUCAGGGACUCCCGCCCCCAGGGACACCCACCCGGGCACCCACGCGCGCCUUGCCUCCGCCCUUCCCUGCCCCCGUCUCGGAUUUCUCUGUCGCCUACCUGGGGCUGCGGCUUACUUUCUGUGAGGCCCAUUCUCAGCGCUUGGCGUGUGUUCUUCACGGAGCCGAGAAUGCGACGUGCAUUAGCUCAGUGA